GUGGUUGUGGCUCAGUGGUAAAGCACUUACCUAGCAUGUACAAGCCACUGGGAUCAAUCCUCAGCACCACA
rnacentral:tRNA from 1 species